UUAUUAGGAACACACUUUUCACUGAGAGUCUUCAAAUAGACUUUAUUACCAAGAACUCUGUGGUAAGCUGCCAUCCGCUGCCUUCCAGUCAGACAGGCCUGGCUUUGAACUCUGCAUGCUUCUUGGUGUAUCUCAGCUCCAAACGAAGGGUGGAAGGCCUGAGGGACUGCAUCAAACCCAGGAAGAAGAGUACAGCAAGCCAGAACUGAAGACUCCAUCCCUGAAUGCUAAUGCAGCUGCUCUCUAAACGUCUGAAAUGUGAGAAUGAGUACCGUCUGUGACCACUUCCUCCUUCCCUUCUUCUGUUGAAGUCCCAUUCAGCUGAUGUGUACCUCAAGGAGAGCCAGGAGAAAAGGAAGUAAAAUUGCAAACCAGGAUGGCCUCUGAACUGGG